AAAUUGAAGAGUUUGAUCAUGGCUCAGAUUGAACGCUGGCGGCAGGCCCAACACAUGCAAUGUUGCAACAGAAAUCAGUCACAUGGAUUUGCCGCUGACGAGUGGCGGACGGGUGAGUAAUGUCUGGGAAACUGCCUGAUGGAGGGGAUAACUACGGAAACGGUAGCUAAUACCGCAUAACGCCGGUAAAGAUCAGACCUUCGGCUCUUGCCAUCGGAUGCGCUCCAGAUGGGAUUAGCUAGUAGGUGGGGUAACGGCUCACCUAGGCGACGAUCCCUAAAGGUCUGAGGAUGACCAGCCACACUGAACUGAGACGUCCGGUGACUCCUACGGAGGCAGCAGGGGAAUAUUAAAGAAUGGCGCGCGCCUGAUGCAGCCAUGCUGCGUGUGGUAAGAAGAAGGCCUUCGGGUUGUAAAGUACUUUCAGCGGGGAGGCGGGAUAAAGUUAAUACCUUUGCUCAUUGACGUUACCCCGCAGAAGAAGCACCGGCUAACCUCGUGCCAGCAGCCGCGGUAAUACGGAGGGUGCAAGCGUUAAUCGGAAUUACUGGGCGUGUGCUGCACGCAGGCGGUUUGUUAAGUCAGGAUGUGAAACUUUCGGGCUCAACUGAACCAUCUGAUAUCGGCGUAAGCUUGAGUCUCUGUAGAGGGGGUAGAAUUCCAGGUAGCGCAGAAACGCAGAGAUCUGGAGGAAUACCGGUGGCGAAGGCGGCCCCUGGACGAAGACUGACGCUCAGGUGCGAAAGCGUGGGGAGCAAAUAUCGAUACUUCCGUGAUCCACGCCAAACGAUGUCGACUUGGAGGUUGCGCCUGAUAUGUGGCUUCCGGAGCUAACGCGUUAAGUCGACCGCCUGGGGAGUACGGCCGCAAGGUUAAAACUCAAAUGAAUUGACGGGGGCCCGCAUGCGGACAUGUGGUUUAAUUGAUGUGCAACGCGAAGAACCUUACCUGGUCUUGACAUCCACGGAAGUUUUCAGAGAUGAGAAUGUGCCUUCGGGAACCGUGUGAGACAGGUGCUGCAUGGCUGUCGUCAGCUCGUGUUGUGAAAUGUUGGGUUAAGUCCCGCAACGAGCGCAACCCUUUAUCCUUUGUUGCCAGCGGUCCGGCCGGGAACUCAAAGGAGACCGCUGUGAUAAACGGAGAAGGUGGGGAUGACGUCAAGUCAUCAGCGGCCUUCGAUGACCAGCUACACACGUGCUACAAUGGCGCAUACAAAGAGAAGCAUCUCGCGAGAGCAAGUGACCUCUUCAUAAAGUGCGUCGUAGUCCGGAUUUGAGUCUGUAACUCGACUCCGCGGAAGUCGGAAUCGCUAGUAAUUCGAUCAGAAUGCCACGGUGAAUACGUUCCCGGGCCUUGUACACACCGCCCGUCACACCAUGGGAGUGUACAAAAAUAAGGAGGGCGCUUAACCUCGGGAGGCGCUUACCACUUUGUGAUUCAUGACUGGGGUGAAGUCGUAACAAGGUAACCGUAGGGGAACCUGCGGCUGGAUCACCUCCUUA
rnacentral:rRNA from 1 species